rnacentral:rRNA from 1 species
AAAUCUUCAAUCAGCGUCUGAAUAAUAUACAAUAAUUACAACUUUCAACAACGGAUCUCUUGGUUCUGGCAUCGAUGAAGAACGCAGCGAAAUGCGAUAAGUAGUGUGAAUUGCAGAAUUCAGUGAAUCAUCGAAUCUUUGAACGCACAUUGCGCCCCUUGGUAUUCCAUGGGGCAUGCCUGUUCGAGCGUCAUUUGUACCUUCAAGCUUUGCUUGGUGUUGGGUGCUUGUCUUUUUGUUAAGACUCACCUCAAAGUCAUUG